rnacentral:misc_RNA from 1 species
AGGGGUUGAAGAGGAGUUCAUGCCGUGGCUGAUACAAGAGGUGUCUCUCGAGAUCGAGUCCAUCAUCACGAGUAGAGACGUCAUCGCUGAGAUAGUGCGAGACGUGGUGGAGGCGCGCGCGGAACUGCUCGGCAGAGACCGGCGCGACGCUCAGCGCGCGUCGCCGCCCGAGUCCGUCACACCGCCCUCUGUGCCAACGGAGGAAGAACUGGAGCAAUAACAACGUGUGAUUCAAGUAAAAUUUUUAGUUAAUAAAUAAAUGAGGACUCUGUUCAAAAUAUCAUUAUAUUUUCAACUUUACUUUUAAGCUACUUAUACAUUGAUUCAUGUAUGAAACUCUACAUAAGAAUCAUCUGCGUAAAGAUACUUUCGAAUGUAAG